AUGUUUGUGUGCAGAUGUAUGAUCUGUAGGGGGAUUAAAGUGAGUGAUGUGAGUAGGUGUGGUUCCUGCCUUCCAGAGAAUCAGAAGAAGUGUUGGUAUCUGAGGGAGGUGGUGGGUGAAUUGGGGGGGCACCAUCUUGGUCAUAAUCCAUGCGGGCGGUGCUGGUGUGUCUUUGUGCGCUGGCCAUUUGUUUGGGUUGUCGCAGUGUGUGCCGGAGUAGGUGGAUUAGAUGGAAACUUAAGAAGCAUGGCUGUCUCCAUGCAGCUGGGUCCAGGCAUCUGUCAUUCCUCAGUCCAACACCGCACACCCUAUAAAUCCCAGAACACACAGGCCAGACUGACGCACUUCAUUUCAACAACACCAUGCAGAGAUGCUGCAGGGAAGGGGGGGGGGGGGGGGGGGGGGGGNNNNNNNNNNCAAGCUGACUCCACACUCCAAGACUGCUUCCACCACGUGGACUGGGACAUGUUUCGUAUUGCGUCAGACAACAACAUUGACGAAUACGCUGAUUCGGUGUGUGAGUUCAUUAGAACGUGCGUUGAAGAUGUCGUUCCCAUAGCAACGAUUAAAACAUUCCCUAACCAGAAACCGUGGAUUGAUGGCAGCAUUCGCGUGAAACUGAAAGCGCGAACCACUGCUUUUAAUCAGGGGAAGGUGUCUGGUAACAUGACCGAAUACAAACAGUGCAGCUAUUCCCUCCGCAAGGCUAUCAAACAAGCUAAGCGUCAGUACAGAGACAAAGUAGAAUCUCAAUUCAACGGCUCAGACACAAGAGGCAUGUGGCAGGGUCUACAGUCAAUCACGGACUACAGGAAGAAAUCCAGCCCAGUCACGGACCAGGAUGUCCUGCUCCCAGGCAGACCAGUAAACAACUUUUUUGCCCGCUUUGAGGACAAUACAGUGCCACUGACACGGCCGGCAACGAAAACAUGCGGUCUCUCCUUCACUGCAGCCGAGGUGAGUAAGACAUUUAAACGUGUUAACCCUCGCAAGGCUGCAGGCCCAGACGGCAUCCCCAGCCGCGCCCUCAGAGCAUGCGCAGACCAGCUGGCCGGUGUGUUUAACGGACAUAUUCAAUCAAUCCCUAUACCAGUCUGCUGUUCCCACAUGCUUCAAGAGGGCCACCAUUGUUCCUGUUCCCAAGAAAGCUAA
rnacentral:lncRNA from 13 species